rnacentral:lncRNA from 1 species
AGCCCUAAUCGCUUCCAACGCCAGCUCCGGUAUUUUACCAGAACCAGGAUUUGCCGUGCUCCUCGCAGGGAAACCCAGGCACGUUUCCAGCCAGCGACCCCGGGGGCAGGGAGGCUCGGGCGGCCCAUUCCUCUGCUCAGGGGCUGCCCUCUCCCCACUGCCCCUCGGCCUCCCCCCCCCGAGCUUUCCUGGUCACCAGGGGGGCACCAGGAGCCCCCCCACACCCUCCUGCUGCCCUUCCCACGGGUCGUUCCCCGUUUUUCCCCAUUUUUCCCCGUUUUUCCCCCAUCCUCCCCCGGCGCGCCCGCAGCACGCCGUGCUGCCAGGUGCAACCCCCCCUUGCUGCAGGGGGACGGGGGCAAGGAAACCCGGCCCGGUGCCACCUCCUGUCCCCCCCCCGCACCUCCGAGGAGGGGAACCAGUGUCCCAACACCCCCGGGCACCGCCACCUCUCCUCGGCAGGGCCGCAGAAGCGCCGGGGAAGGGCCGGCUGGGCUUUGCCCUGCAAGUUCCAGCGCAGGAGUUCCCCGGGGGGGCUCCCCCCUUGCACCGCCACCACCCCCCAGGAGGAACCCACCCGGCGGCUCCCCUCGGGCUGGGGGGCGGCACGGGCCGGACCCCCCCCCAUCUUCCUCCUCCUCCUCCUCGGGGCGGGACAGGCCCCUCGCCCCGCCCGGGGGGGAGACAAUGGGCGCGAUGACUUCACCCUCCAGCAAUGCGAGGGGCAGCGGCCCCCCCUUCCAUCCCUCCCCGGACCCCCCCCGGGCCCCUCACCCCCGCCCAGAGGCGGCUCCGCUCCACCUCCCCCCCCCAAUCCCUUCGCCCCCCUCCGCCACGCUCAGGGCGGCGGCUGCCAGCCCCCGGCGGGGGACCGGGGGCNNNNNNNNNNNNNNNNNNNNNCUUGGCAGCACCACGCGUGGGCUGGGAACCCGGCGGGGGGCCGGGGGGGGGGGGGGGGGGGGGGGCGCCUCCCCGCCGCCGAGUACCUGCGGGGCGGCGGCAGAGGAAGCCGGCCCGGCGCAGGAAGCGUCUCCCCGUGUCCGUGUCUCUGUGUGUGAGGGAGAGAGAGGGAGAACGGGGCGGCGCUGCCGGGGCCGGCCCUGCCCGCCGAGGGGAGGCGGCGCCGGGGCCGUCGGUUUCCGCGACGCGCUGAGCUCACGCGUAUGGCGGCGGCGGCGGCGCCGCCUCGGGGCGGGUCCCGGUCGCCACAGUCGCCGCCCGCCGCCCCCGGCUCGGUGGGGUGCGGGGGGUGCCCGCCCACCGGGCCUUCCCGCCGUCCUUUAUUUAAUAAAUAAUUAUUUAACACUGUGUGGGCUUGGUACCCGGUAA